CAGAGUUCUUGCCCUUCGGGGUAGAUCUCCCACCCGUGUGUUUUAUACCUUUGUUGCUUUGGCAGGCCCGCCCCGGCCACUGGCUCCAGCUAGUGAGUGCCUGCCAGAGGACUCCCAACUCUGAAUUAAUUGUCGUCUGAGUACUAUAUAAUAGUUA
rnacentral:misc_RNA from 1 species